AUGGCUGGUGCCAGCAUCCAGCUUGGUGCCAUCCCAUCCCAUCCCAUCCCAUCCCAUCCCAUCCCAUCCCAUCCCAUCCCAUCCCAUCGGGACAUGCCCAGGGACAGGACGGAAGAGGGGCCGGGCACACACCCCGCAGCGCCCGUGCUCCAUCCCCUGGGGCAUCCCGGGGCUGUCCCUGCCUGGGGCGCGCAGGGCUGGGCUCUGUUCUCCGGCCUCUCCCGCAGCCCCUCAGCUCUGGCUGCGCUCGCUCUUUGCCAGGCCCAGCCAUGGAACAGACACAAGAGCAGGAACCCACCCGUGGCCGCUUCCGCAGAACAGUGCAGGUACCUGCAGCCAUCCCCACCUGGGCUGGGCCUGCUGUCACUGCUCAGCCCAGCACAGCGCUUGGAGCACUCCAUGGAACAUCCAUGGCGUCUUGCCCUUCUCCUACAGCUGAUCUGCAAAUUGCUCAAGAAUAUUCGGCAGGAAGGGACCAGCACUGGGGUCAUAGCAUACUCAGACAUCUUCAAACAGAAGAUCACUGUGUCCCUGCUAGAUAUACUUGUGAAGAACGGUGUUUCUAGUCCAGAUCAGGUGCCUGCCAUGGUGAGGUUCAUCCACCAGUGGCUCAUGGCCAAUGAGUCUGAUGAGCACAGGGUGGAGAGGAUCCUGCUGGAUCUCACCGAGGCACAGCCCACUGAUGUGGUGAUGACUCUCCUGCGUGUGGCCCCAUCGUGUGACAGAGCUGCUAUGACCAUGUGGACAACGAUCAUGUCCUCACUCAAGAUUGCAGUGGAGGUGCAGCAAAUACUCCUGGAUGUGCUGGGGAGCUGGCCAGAGCACAGCACGUGCACCUCCGAUGGGGACACAACGAGAGUCUUUGCCCUGGCUGCAACUGUGGUGAUGUGGAAGAUCCUCCAGGUGCCCUUUGUCCCAUAUAUAGUGAUAUCGUUUUUCCCCCGCCUAUUUGUGCACCUGCUCUUCCAAGUGUUCUUCAGCACUUUGGAUACACCAGAGGAGGUCGAUGAAUUCAAUGCCAGAGGAGGUGGAUAAAUUCUGGAAGAGAUGCCAGGAACAACACAGCCUCGCUGCUAGCCCCAACAGGUUUUCCAUUCCAGUCCUUCUGUCCCUG
rnacentral:lncRNA from 12 species